AAUUUGUGGUAUGGGCAUUUUUGAACCAGCAUUGUAAAAUGUUGCCAUGCCUCAUAGAAACUCUCUCUCUCCAUCUGCCUAAAGACAAAAAUCUCUUUUCUCAGUU
rfam:Gossypium raimondii chromosome 9, whole genome shotgun sequence.